rnacentral:rRNA from 1 species
AUUGAACGCUGGCGGCAGGCCUAACACAUGCAAGUCGAACGAGUGGCGGACGGGUGAGUAAUGUCUGGGAAACUGCCUGAUGGAGGGGGAUAACUACUGGAAACGGUAGCUAAUACCGCAUACCAUCGGAUGUGCCCAGAUGGGAGUAGCUAGUAGGUGGGGUAAAGGCUCACCUAGGCGACGAUCCCUAGCUGGUCUGAGAGGAUGACCAGCCACACUGGAACUGAGACACGGUCCGGACUCCUACGGGAGUCAGCAGUGGGGAAUAUUGCACAAUGGGCGCAAGCCUGAUGCAGCGAUGCCGCGUGUAUGAAGAAGGCCUUCGGGUUGUAAAGUACUUUCAGCGGGGAGGCGUAAGCCGAAGAAGAAGCACCGGCUAACUCCGUGCCAGCAGCCGCGGUAAUAG